GUAUGUUAAGUCUGGAACAUACGAUACGGGGACGGGAAACACAGAGAUUAUCGCUCCUUAUGUUUUCGUCCAAUCAGGAAUCAGCGCCGCCAUUUUACAAUUUUAGUUCAAAGCGGAGGAAAUGUUCGGUCAGAAAAUCGAUCGGUAUGUUUACUUAAUGGGGUUGAAGUCCCCAGAAAGUAAAUGAAAUAAUUCUGUUUAUCGAAGAUUGAAAACUUUCCAUCAGAUGCUUUCUUCACAAAUUUCUUUUUGCUUGAGAAUACCAGUAAUGAUGAACAAGAUACUGAGUGUAAGGUCACAAAAGAUACCAUGAAUUUGUCGAUUCAGAUUGAAGGAUUAAAAUAUGUAUUCGUGUCACAGAGAAAAUGAAGUUGGACCUACUUGUGCAUUCAUAUAUCUGAUGAAACAUUUUUUCAAAGCCGCAUGCCUCCAGAUUACCCAAAAUAUUUCAAAGAAA